GCGUUCGCUUCAGCAGCACGUAUACUAAAAUUGGAACGAUACGGAGAAGAUUAGCGUGGCCCCUGCGCAAGGAUGACACGCAAAUUUGUGUUCCAUAUUUCA
rnacentral:snRNA from 1 species